rnacentral:rRNA from 1 species
CCUACGGGUGGCAGCAGUGGGGAAUAUUGGGCAAUGGGCGCAAGCCUGACCCAGCAACGCCGCGUGAAGGAAGAAGGCUUUCGGGUUGUAAACUUCUUUUCUCAGGGACGAAGCAAGUGACGGUCCCUGAGGACUAAGCCACGGCUAACUACGUGCCCGCAGCCGCGGUAAUACGUAGGUGGCAAGCGUUAUCCGGAUUUACUGGGUGUAAAGGGCGUGUAGGCGGGAAAGCAAGUCAGAUGUGAAAACCCUCAGCUUAACUGAGGAACUGCAACUAAAACUAUUUUUCUUGAGUGGUGGAGAGGAAAGUGGAAUUCCUAGUGUAGCGGUGAAAUGCGUAGAUAUUAGGAGGAACACCAGUGGCGAAGGCGACUUUCUGGACAGUAACUGACGUUGAGGCACGAAAGUGUGGGGAGCAAACAGGAUUAGAUACCCCUGUAGUC